UACAGAGGAGCCAAGCGUUGUCCGGAUUGACUGGGCGUAAAGCGCACGCAGGCGGCUGCGCGCGUGGGGUGUGAAAUCUGGCCGCUUAACGGCCAGGCGCCAUCCCAUACGGCGCGGCUUGAGCCUUGCAGAGGGCGGUGGAAUUGCCGGUGUAGUGGUGAAAUGCGUAGAGAUCGGCAGGAACACCCAGGGGGAAAGCAGCCGCCUGGGCAAGCGCUGACGCUGAGGUGCGAGAGCGUGGGGAGCGAACCGG
rnacentral:rRNA from 1 species